GUGUUUUUUGCCAUUUGAAGUAGCUGGAGUCUCCAUCAGCAGCGGUUGAAGUCUUCAACAGAGCAACUUCUUCUUCGUCCAGCAGCGCAGCUUCACUCCAGCAUCACCGUGGCAGAUGUCAACACUCCAGCUUCUGUGAGGAACGAAGGCAAUGGUUGUUCCUCUGCUUUUCUCCUUCUCUUCUCUGUGUAUAUUUUUUUUUGCUCUGUUCUUGUUCGUGCUCUGCCUCUCCCUUUCUUUCUCCCUGUUUGCGUCUUCCUUUCUGUCCCCCGCGUCUUCUGCCUCUCCCCUUUUGCUGGUUUUGCCUUUUUUCCUCAUGCUCUGGAUCUCCUUUUCUCUCAGUUUUUCCCCAGUUUUUCCUCAGUUUUUCUUCCCCUGUUUCUGUUUUGUUUUCUGCCCCUGUCGUUUGUUCUUUCUCUAGCUUUUAUAAAGCCGGAGAACGUGGUAAUGAUCUUGGGAGUGAGCCAUAAAAACUGGGGACUUGGACUGCAUCGUGUCCCACGAGCUGCAGUUACAGAUUUCCUGCUGAACCAGUCUCUCUUGGGCGAGGAAUAAGGUGGAGAAUAGUGGAUUCAGAAACGGCGUCGUUUUCUUGAAAUGUCCAUUUUCAACUUGGCCCCUAAACUUCUGACAUUUAACAAUUAGGUCCCUGAUUCCUUUAAUUAAGUAAUUCCAAGUUCAAAUGA